rnacentral:rRNA from 1 species
UGGGGAAUUUUGCACAAUGGGGGAAACCCUGAUGCAGCGACGCCGCGUGAUUUAGAAGGCCUUCGGGUUGUAAAAAUCUUUUCUAUGGGAAGAAAAUGACAGUACCAUAGGAAUAAGGACCGGCUAAUUACGUGCCAGCAGCCGCGGUAAUACGUAAGGUCCGAGCGUUGUCCGGAAUCAUUGGGCGUAAAGGGUACGUAGGCGGGUAAGCAAGUUAGAAGUGAAAUCUUGUAGCUCAACUAUAGAAAGCUUUUAAAACUGCUCAUCUUGAGGUAUGGAAGGGAGAGUGGAAUUCCUAGUGUAGCGGUGAAAUGCGCAGAUAUUAGGAGGAAUACCGGUGGCGAAGGCGACUUUCUGGCCAUAACCUGACGCUGAGGUACGAAAGAGUGGGUAGCAAACAGG